rnacentral:rRNA from 1 species
GAUGAACGCUGGCGGCGUGCUUAACACAUGCAAGUCGAACGGAAAGGCCCUUCGGGGGAAUUCGAGUGGCGAACGGGUGAGUAACACGUGGGGAAGCUGCCCUACUCGCUGGGAUAAUUCGUCGCAACUCGAGCUAACAGCGGAUAUUCAGAUCUGGUCGCAUGGCCAGAUCGGGAAAGCCCCGGCGGAGAAGGAUGACCCCGCGCCCCAUUAGCUUGUUGGUGAGGUAACGGCUCACCAAGGCGACGAUGGGUAGCCGAGCUGAGAGGGUGAUGGGCCACACUGGGACUGAGACACGGCCCGGACUCCUACGGGAGGCAGCAGUGGGGAAUCUUGCGCAAUGGGCGAAAGCCUGACGCAGCGACGCCGCGUGCGGGAAGAAGUCUCUCGGGACGUAAACCGCUUUCAGCAGGGAUGAAAUUGACAGUACCUGCAGAAGAAGCCCCGGCUAAAUACGUGCCAGCCGCCGCGGUAAUAC